GAUGAACGCUGGCGGUCUGCUUAACACAUGCAAGUCGAACGGAAGUAGCAAUACUUUAGUGGCGGACGGGUGAGUAACACGUAAAAAUCUGCCUCCAGGACGGGAAAAACAGUUGGAAACGACUGCUAAUUCCGGAUGAGCCGAAAGGUAAAAAGAAAUUCGCCUGGAGAUGAGCUUGCGGCUGAUUAGCUAGUUGGUAGGGUAAGAGCCUACCAAGGCGACGAUCAGUAGCUGGUCUGAGAGGAUGAGCAGCCACACUGGGACUGAGACACGGCCCAGACUCCUACGGGAGGCAGCAGUAGGGAAUUUUCCGCAAUGGGCGAAAGCCUGACGGAGCAAGACCGCGUGGGGGAGGAAGGUUCUUGGAUUGUCAACCCCUUUUCUCAAGGAAGAAGAUCUGACGGUACUUGAGGAAUCAGCAUCGGCUAACUCCGUGCCAGCCGCCGCAGUAACAC
rnacentral:rRNA from 1 species